GUCCACGCCGUAAACGAUGGAUACUAGCUGUUGGGGGCAACUUCAGUGGCUAAGCGAAAGUGAUAAGUAUCCCACCUGGGGAGUACGUUCGCAAGAAUGAAACUCAAAGGAAUUGACGGGGGCCCGCACAAGCGGUGGAGCAUGUGGUUUAAUUCGAUGAUACGCGAGGAACCUUACCAAGGCUUAAAUGUAGAUUGACGUAUUUGGAAACAGAUAUUUCUUCGGACAAUUUACAAGGUGCUGCAUGGUUGUCGU
rnacentral:rRNA from 1 species